rnacentral:rRNA from 1 species
CAGAGGGGGCAAGCGUUGUUCGGAAUUACUGGGCGUAAAGAGCUCGUAGGCGGUUCGGUAAGUCGGGUGUGAAACCUCCAGGCUCAACCUGGAGUCGCCACUCGAUACUGCUGUGACUAGAGUCCGGUAGGGGAGCGUGGAAUUCCUGGUGUAGCGGUGAAAUGCGCAGAUAUCAGGAGGAACACCAGCGGCGAAGGCGGCGCUCUGGGCCGGAACUGACGCUGAGGAGCGAAAGCGUGGGUAGCAAACAGGA